GACGAACGCUGGCGGCGUGCCUAAUACAUGCAAGUUGAGCGCUGAAGGUUGGUACUUGUACCAACUGGAUGAGCAGCGAACGGGUGAGUAACGCGUGGGGAAUCUGCCUUUGAGCGGGGGACAACAUUUGGAAACGAAUGCUAAUACCGCAUAAAAACUUUAAACACAAGUUUUAGGUUUGAAAGAUGCAAUUGCAUCACUCAAAGAUGAUCCCGCGUUGUAUUAGCUAGUUGGUGAGGUAAAGGCUCACCAAGGCGAUGAUACAUAGCCGACCUGAGAGGGUGAUCGGCCACAUUGGGACUGAGACACGGCCCAAACUCCUACGGGAGGCAGCAGUAGGGAAUCUUCGGCAAUGGACGAAAGUCUGACCGAGCAACGCCGCGUGAGUGAAGAAGGUUUUCGGAUCGUAAAACUCUGUUGGUAGAGAAGAACGUUGGUGAGAGUGGAAAGCUCAUCAAGUGACGGUAACUACCCAGAAAGGGACGGCCAACUACGUG
rnacentral:rRNA from 1 species